GGGCCAGCCGCAGCACCCCAUUGGUCCUACUCCCCAAGAGGCCAUCCCCAGGGGGGCUCAUGCUGCGGGGCUCUGAGCAAGCCCGCUCGCUGGCACCUUCAAACCACACGCCUGGUCCCUUCGGGGGCCGGGCGUGUGUGUUU
rfam:Stenotrophomonas sp. LM091, complete genome.